rnacentral:rRNA from 1 species
GACGAACGCUGGCGGCGUGCCUAAUACAUGCAAGUAGGACGCAGUUGCGAACGGGUGAGUAACGCGUAGGUUACUGCCUAUUAGAGGGGGAUAACUAUUGGAAACGAUAGCUAAUACCGCAUACUAGUAGAUGGACCUGCGUUGUAUUAGCUAGUAGGUAGGGUAAUGGGCUACCUAGGCGACGAUACAUAGCCGAACUGAGAGGGUGGUCGGCCAACCUGGGACGUAGACAAGGGCCCGACUCCUACGGGAGGCAGCAGUAGGGAAUCUGCGGCAAUGGGGGGAACCCUGACCGUGCAACGCCGCGUGAGUGAAGAAGGUUUUCGGAUCGUAAAGCUCUGUUGUUAAGGAAGCGGUACUUAACCAGAAAGGGACGGCUAACUACGUGCCAGCAGCCGCGGUAAUAC